GUAAUGGGGAACGAACUUGUGUACUACCAUCCCAUUAACAAAACUACUUCACCGGUGUAACGAAAUUAAGGGUCCGUGUAACAGAAAGUCCGAGCUCUAUUUAGUUAUAAUGGUACGGGUUAGCCUGACCUAAGUGGGUCAAAAUCUUUUAAAUAAUAAGGUUUUUUAAUAAUUAGGGCAUUAGUAACAUUGUAACCGUCAGAUAAAUGUGUCUGAAUAAAAUUAUACAAUAAGAUAUACACAUAAAGGGUUUAUAUUAAGAUGAAAUUGAGUUCGUAAUAAAACACAGAUCUCUAAAAGUUGGUUAAAAAAUACAAUUUUUCGCGAUCGGAAAAGUUCGGUCUUUAUUAAUUGGUACAUUAAAGUUGGAUUGAUUAUGUGUUAUCUUUAUGUAUGACAAGUACCCGGGUCAGAAAAUAACCAACCUGUCAUAGCGGUAAAGUCACAUGUUGUGACAGUUUGAUGUACAGACAAUUAAAAAAACGUAGUGCCCAUCAAUUGAAUGCCGUCCACCUUUACAAGCGAUCAUCAAUUCUUACAGUCGGCAUGACGUCACAAGAUGGCCGCCACGCCCGGACUAGGGUAAGAAGUUCCAAUAUGGCUUUGUUAUCGGAUGAAUCUGUCCACUGACAGCGAUUGAACAGAACUUACCUGGAUCCUCAAACAAUCAUAGAGCCCUUUGAGGUGGUUUAAUUGGAAGAAAGUGAUCUUAUCAGUUGGUGUCAUUGUAGCAAAUAGAACUAAAACAGAUAUGAUCUUCACAGGUGUGGUCAUUGUAUUUGUCUUUGAAAAGGGGAGCUGAAAGAAAGCUCUAAUGACAAUUUACUAGUCUGAUUUUAUUACUGAAAGUACAUGCCAUUUUGAGAAUUUGAACAAUUUUUUCUAGUAAUUUUUAAUACCCAUGUUGCUGCAGACAGAAUUGAGAUCAUGGACAGGAAUAAAAUUUUUACAUACUCAAUAAAUCAUUUAAUUAUUGUACUAUGAAGUGUGUUAAUGGCAAUAAUGUGCUAUUGGAACAGAAGUAAUACUUUUUCUUUGUGAUGUUGCACACUUUCAUCAAGAGGAUAGAAUGCAAGAAAGGCUAUCAAUGCACAUACUGCAGUAUAUGAACUGGAAGAAACAAGCGAGUGGAGCUGUUUGCUGUGUAAAAUCUAUUAACCCAUGCAAAUAGAAAAAAACACUCAGCAAUCAAAUUUUUGUUAUGGAUUCAGUGUUUUUAUCCUUUGGACACUACUGUUAUAUUUGCUUAAGUGUUUUAUAUCAUAGAAAUUCUAAUUCAUUUUUACUGUACAAAUGUUAAUUCAGAAUGCAACUUUACAGCAUAUGUCAAGGAAUUUUAUAACUCCUUUCUUACAUACCUUAUAGAUAGAAAUAAAAUGUAAAUUUAAA